rnacentral:rRNA from 1 species
ACGGAGCAGUGAAACCACCGCGGGGCGACGGAAGUCCCCGUUGAAGAGUGUAGGCGUUGAGGAUGGCAGGCAAAUCCACCGUCCGAGCUGAACUUGAGAGUAUGGAGUCUUCUUCGGAAGAAUCCAAUAGUGUGGGUAAUCAUACUCCCGAGAAAAUCCGCUAAGCUUAACCCAUGCGGCACCCGUACCGCAAACGGACACACGUGGUCGGGUAGAACAUACUGAGGCGUUGAGAGAUUCAUGGUUAAGGAACUAGGCAAAUUGACCCUGUAACUUCGGGAUAAAGGGUCCUCGUGAAUAGCGAGGCGCAGAGAAUAGGUCCAGGCAACUGUUUAACAAAAACACAGGGCUGUGCAAACUCGAAAGAUGACGUAUACAGCCUGACACCUGCCCGGUGCCGGAAGGUUAAGAGGAGAUGUCACUCGCAAGAGGAAGCAUUGAAUUGAAGCCCCGGUAAACGGCGGCCGUAACGAUAACGGUCCUAAGGUAGCGAAAUUCCUUGUCGGGUAAGUUCCGACCUGCACGAAUGGUGUAAUGAUCCGGACGCUGUCUCAACCAUGAGCUCAGUGAAAUUGUAGUAUCGGUGAAGAUGCCGAUUACCCGCGAUGGGACGAAAAGACCCCGUGAACCUUUACUACAGCUUAGCAUUGACCUUGGUCAUCCGAUGUGUAGGAUAGGCCGGAGGCUUCGACGCGGGAGCGCCAGCUUUCGUGGAGCCAUCCUUGAAAUACGGCCCUUUGGCUGUCUGGGGUCUAACGCGCGAUGCGCGGACACUGCUUGGUGGGUAGUUUGACUGGGGUGGUCGCCUCCAAAAGCGUAACGGAGGCUUCCAAAGGUGCCCUCGGGUCGAUUGGUAACCGACCUCAAAGAGUGCAAUGGCAUAAGGGCGCUUGACUGGGAGGCAGACAUGCCGAGCAGGCAGGAAACUGGGGCAUAGUGAUCCGGCGGAUGUGUAUGGAAACUCCGUCGCUCAAAGGAUAAAAGGUACUCCGGGAUAACAGGCUGAUCCCCCCCAAGAGCUCAUAUCGACGGGGUGGUUUGGCACCUUGAUGUCGGCUCGUCACAUCCUGGGGCUGGAGAAGGUCCCAAGGGUUGGGCUGUUCGCCCAUUAAAGUGGCACGCGAGCUGGGUUCAGAACGUCGUGAGACAGUUCGGUCUCUAUCUAUCGUGGGCGUGGGAGUUUUGCGUGGUGCCGUCACUAGUACGAGAGGACCGUGAUGGACAGACCUCCGGUUUACCAGUUGUGCCGCCAGGCGCACCGCUGGGUAUCUGAGUCUGGAUUGGAUAAGCGCUGAAAGCAUCUAAGUGCGAAGCCAGCCGCAAGAUGAGAACUCCAUUGAGGGUCGUCAGAGACGAUGACGUUGAUAGGAUGCAGGUGUAAAGACAGCGAUGUCAAAGCCGAGCAUUACUAAUUGCCC